rnacentral:rRNA from 1 species
UGCAGUCGAGCGGACCGACGGGAGCUUGCUCCCUUAGGUCAGCGGCGGACGGGUGAGUAACACGUGGGUAACCUGCCUGUAAGACUGGGAUAACUCCGGGAAACCGGGGCUAAUACCGGAUGCUUGAUUGAACCGCAUGGUUCAAUCAUAAAAGGUGGCUUUUAGCUACCACUUGCAGAUGGACCCGCGGCGCAUUAGCUAGUUGGUGAGGUAACGGCUCACCAAGGCGACGAUGCGUAGCCGACCUGAGAGGGUGAUCGGCCACACUGGGACUGAGACACGGCCCAGACUCCUACGGGAGGCAGCAGUAGGGAAUCUUCCGCAAUGGACGAAAGUCUGACGGAGCAACGCCGCGUGAGUGAUGAAGGUUUUCGGAUCGUAAAACUCUGUUGUUAGGGAAGAACAAGUACCGUUCGAAUAGGGCGGUACCUUGACGGUACCUAACCAGAAAGCCACGGCUAACUACGUGCCAGCAGCCGCGGUAAUACGUAGGUGGCAAGCGUUGUCCGGAAUUAUUGGGCGUAAAGCGCGCGCAGGCGGUUUCUUAAGUCUGAUGUGAAAGCCCCCGGCUCAACCGGGGAGGGUCAUUGGAAACUGGGGAACUUGAGUGCAGAAGAGGAGAGUGGAAUUCCACGUGUAGCGGUGAAAUGCGUAGAGAUGUGGAGGAACACCAGUGGCGAAAGCGACUCUCUGGUCUGUAACUGACGCUGAGGCGCGAAAGCGUGGGAGCGAACAGAUUAGAU